UGUUCUGUGGCUUAGUUGGUUAAAGCGCCGGUCUAGCGAAUGCGGAGUCGUGGGCUCGAUUCCCACCAAAACGC
rfam:Aedes albopictus isolate Foshan contig40087, whole genome shotgun sequence.